UGGCGACCUCCAUGGAGUUUGUGUGCGCAGCGCAUAGGCCUAAUCUACGGUUCGCCGGAAAUUUUUCGGAGAAAUUCAGGUCUGACUCUGGAAAAGGCACCGUAUGGAGAAAGCUCUAGAUCCCCUUGAAGGCUUGAUUUGCUUGUCAAGUAUGCCAAAUCGCUAUGAGCAUGUCCCUUGCCACAAUUUUAUACAGCACACCACACCAGAAGGGGAGUGCAAAUAUGCCAACAACCAACAUUUCCUCGACUAUGAUGCACUGUGACGUUGGAAAAUAUUCAAGACUGCCUCAGCAAGAGACAAAACACAAGAAACCUGUUAAAGGAAGCUACAGAUUUUAUCAGAGCAACAUUCUUCUGGGAUGUGAUUACUGCCAAUA